rnacentral:rRNA from 1 species
GGGUCAGUAGGUUGGUCGUGCCACCGGUACGUACUGGUCUCACUGAUUCCUCCUUCCUGAAGAACCGUAAUGCCAUUAAUUUGGUGUUGCGGGGAAACAGGACUGUUACGUUGAAAAAAUUAGAGUGUUAAAAGCAAGCUAACGCUUGAAUACAUUAGCAUGGAAUAAUGAAAUAGGACGAUCGAUCCUAUUUUGUUGGUUUCUAGGAUUGACGUA